GUUCUCUUUGGUAGCACAUAUAUUAAGAUUGGAAUGAUACAGAGAUUGGCAUGGCUCCUGCACAAGGAUGCCUUUAACUUUUAUAAAUGAUAACAUUUGUGU